rnacentral:rRNA from 1 species
ACGGGGGGGGCAAGCGUUGUUCGGAAUUACUGGGCGUAAAGGGCUCGUAGGUGGCCAACUAAGUCACACGUGAAAUCCCUCGGCUCACCCGAGGACCUGCAUCUCAAACUGCCUGACUCGAGUACGGGAGAGGAUGUGGGAAUUCCUGGUGUAGCGGUGAAAUGCGUAGAUAUCAGGAGGAACACCGGUGGCGAAAGCGCACAUCUGGCCCGAUACUGACGCUGAGGCGCGAAAGCUAGGGGAGCAAACGGGA